GCACCUUCGUACUGCUGCCUAACGGAACCGGAAGGUCACUCCUGACGAGGGAACUCGGCACAGCUGCACAAUCAAUGCCACAAGCGCACACUCCCAUCUUUGUGGGAGCAGGAGCGCAGACGUCUCCCGUGCUCUCUGCACCGCUUUCCGCCUGUAUCCCCCUUCAUCUACAGCCACCGCCUCUCCGCUUACCGUCGGCGUUCGUCUGCUCCUGGGGCCUGUCCGCCACCCACACAUCUCCGUAGGGAUCCUCGUUGUUCCAGAGCGGCAGCAGAGUCACUGGAGCGGAACUGAAUCAGAGCGGAAGCAGGAGGCCAGAAUUCUUGCUCUUCUCUGCGUACUGCAAUCGUUCUUGAUUUCAAGGAGUGCCUGGCAUUUGCCUCCUUCCCUGUUGAUGCUGAAGUGGAAGAAGGAAAAAAUUCACAUGCAUCCCAUGUAAUGCAGAGGCUGCUGAGUUCCUAGGCUGUGCAACAGGGCUCUACUGCUUCAGGCUGUGAGGAAGACUGCCGUUACCAUUUGAGAGUCACUGCGGUGGUGGCACGAUGAGCACUAGGACAGCACCCACGCAGUAUGCUGCUGGUAUCUAAAAGCUUCCUGGGGCAAAAAGUGCACAGGAGACCUGACCACCGAGAAUCAUUUGGGUACAAGCAAGCAUCUUCUGUGCAUGAGCUGGACAGCAGCUGUUUCAGGAACUGAAAAAGAGUUCUAACCAAUGAAGUACAUGUGGGAAAACAAAGGGAAGUUAAAAUCUGUAUGAAAAUCACCCAGCAUAUAUGUGCACCACGAAGGAAAUGAUGAUGGUAAGUAAGCUUGCUACUGUCAGUAAUGCCUAAGGAAGCAGAUCCCACAAUGACAUGCUUCUGGAAAGCUUCUGUCUCCUUCAGAUAGCAUCCAUCAGUGCAGCUUUCUAUUACAUUCAAUAUUUCCCAUUAGAGCCCUUCUUACCAUGGCUGAGCAAUUGCUUUUUGAUUAUUGAUUAUUCUGAUGGUAGUUCUAACAUGAACUUGGAGAGGAUGAAAAAUUUCAACACACCACAGACCAUUAGGUAUUCCUAUGAAAAGUGGAGAAUUGACUUGGUACAUUUUAAUUAUGCCCUGUAGCUCUGAAUAUGGGCUGAAAAUUGGAGAAAGGGCUAUUAUUCAGUGAAGGAAACACUGUAUAGUUAGCUCAUAACCCUACACCUGCAUUUUGAAUGUGAAGCAAUCUUGUUGCUGAAUUUGACUGAAACAGUACAGAAAUGGGUUAUCUUGUACCUAUUUGUGUUUCAGAGGGGGCUUGUUGAAAACCACCUACAAAUGUCAAACCUGGGAUUGACUCAAGGUGGUUAUUGUACUGAUUUUAAUGUACUUUUCAUCACACUACCCAGCUAGAAGUGCAAGGAGAAAGGUGAAUAUCCUCACUUUCUCACUCUGGCAUCCAGUUUCUGCUAAGCUAGUAGUAGGCUUUCCUACAGUCUAAGUGUCUUGGGCUUUUUUUGUUUGUUGGUAUGUUUUAAGAGUUAAGACUAAGCCAGAAAAUAAAAGCAACAAAAGAGCAAAAA